rnacentral:rRNA from 1 species
UACGGAGGGUGCAAGCGUUAAUCGGAAUUACUGGGCGUAAAGCGUGCGCAGGCGGUUUGUUAAGUCUGUUGUGAAAUCCCCGAGCUCAACUUGGGAAUUGCAAUGGAUACUGGCAGGCUGGAGUAUGGUAGAGGAAGGUGGAAUUCCACGUGUAGCGGUGAAAUGCGUAGAGAUGUGGAGGAACACCAGUGGCGAAGGCGGCUUUCUGGUCUGUAACUGACGCUGAGGCGCGAAAGCGUGGGGAGCAAACAGG